rnacentral:lncRNA from 1 species
GGAGCAUCCUGACUACAGGACCAGCUGGGGACUCUUCUCACAGAUGCAUGGUGUCCCCCAGCCCCACGGCUACACCUGCAGCACAGCUGCACCACUACACUGUCCCCACGCUGGGCACAGCGCCUGCACUGUCCUGAGCCCCGACCUCAAUUCCAGCACCUCCUGCGUCAGCCCAUCACCAGCAGGGACAGCUUUGUCACCAUCGAACACCAGAACUGUGACUGUGGGUGCUGACCAUCCCUCCCACGACGCUCUCCUGCUGCCGAUGGCAUGGUCAUGAGACGCCACCACAGUUCUGAAAGGGCACCAGCUGUCCGCCUGCGGCCAUGGCACAGGCUGGGUGGCCUGGGCUCAGGCUGGCCGGUGGGCUCCCGCUGCCUGCCUCGGUGGGUUUCUCCUCUUGGCUUCUAACCCCUGUUCCGCCCUCUGCACGGCGCUGUGUGGGGACUUCGCGAUUCCCCUCCUGCUCGCUGUGUGCGCUCUCUCUGCUUCCUUAAUGAUCUAAUUUGUAAUAUUUCAUCUCCCCUCCCUUUCAUCUCUCUCUGAACACACAGGCCAGUUAAAAUAAAUAUGUAUUUUUAAUUUCAAGGCACCU